GCCCAGAUGGCGGAACUGGUAGACGCGCCAGUCUCAAAAACUGGUGGAGGCGACUCCGUGCCGGUUCGAGUCCGGCUCUGGGCACCG
rnacentral:tRNA from 1 species